GGAUAUAUAGUUCAGUGGUAGAGUGUGUGCAUAGCAUACACAAGGUCCUGAGUUCAAUCCCCAGUAUCUUCA
rnacentral:tRNA from 1 species